UACGUAGGGGGCAAGCGUUGUCCGGAAUCACUGGGCGUAAAGCGCACGUAGGCGGAUUGGAAAGUUGGAGGUGAAAUCCCAGGGCUCAACCUUGGAACUGCCUUCAAAACUCCCAGUCUUGAGGUCGAGAGAGGUAAGUGGAAUUCCGAGUGUAGAGGUGAAAUUCGUAGAUAUUCGGAGGAACACCAGUGGCGAAGGCGGCUUACUGGCUCGAUACUGACGCUGAGGUGCGAAAGCGUGGGGAGCAAACAGG
rnacentral:rRNA from 1 species